ensembl:lncRNA
CGCUCUCUUUUUUUCCCGUCUCUGCACCUUUUGCACAAAAGGACGGGACCUGCUUAAUUCUUCACCAGCAGGGCGUCCGUGCGAACACAGGCCCGGCGUCUGCCUGCGGUCCCGCUUCUCCAUUUUCCUCUCGCGCCCUCGCCGCCUUGCUAGCCGACUGGUUUCUCCCCGUUUCCUCCCGCGCUGUGAUAGACGUCUUCCCCGUUUCAGAUGACACCCCUGGAAGAGGGAGCGGGGGGCAAAGAUGAGGAAGGCAGGAGAAAAGGACUCAGUCAAAAAAACGAAGCAUGUUGCGAGGGAGAAAAGGGGCUGACGUUCAUGAAGAGAAGCGGAGGAGAGAAGGGGUAGCAGCCAAGCAAGUGAUGACUGAAUCGGGAUCUCCAAAAUCGCGGGAAAACGAACGGAGAGGAGACUACAGGCUGCCCCGGCUCCUCCCACCACCUCUGCCAAUCCCUCCUCUGCUACGAUCCCCAUCCAUUCAUCCUGGAUCCCUAAAGCUGCGUAUCCAUGGGGUGGAUAUUUCGACUUGAGUCUUUGAACCGAGGCCCAGGCGUCCAUCAUCCGAUUCAUCAGACUUACAUACGAGGAUUAGAGGAUAUCAGGAAUUCUGCAGGCGGGCCGUUUUAAAAAAUACUGAUCUUUUAUUUCCAGAUGAAACUAAUGCCCUCUUCUUUUAACCCUUUAAUCGAUCCCAUUUAGACAUAUGUAUAUGUAUAUGUAUGUGCAUUUUUGACAAAUAUCAUGUUACAUUGUUCGCAGCCAGUGAAAGGGGACCCACAAAUUCCCAUUCUUUCCCUGUGUUCCCACUGAGUACGAUGUCUGGGUUCCAGAAAUAUUUCUCUAACACGGCCUGAUGGUAUAGUACUCGUGUUUAGUUUAUUCAUGCAGGGUUUGAUGUUGCACGCCCUGGCCAUUGCAUGUGCGGCUGCACCGGUCUCAGUGGGCGCCUGCUCCGAGUGCUUUGAGCUAAUUGGCCGUCAGUGUUUGUAAAUAGAUGCAGCGGUCUGGAUGAUUGUGUUAGUGCGACGUCUCAUGCGGUGCUGCGGGCCACGCUCGUCUCGCGCCCGGCGAGGUUCUGGUGCUUCAUUUUGGUCCCU